UACGUAGGGGGGCUAGCGUUGUCCGGAAUCAUUGGGCGUAAAGCGCGCGUAGGCGGCCCGGUAAGUCCGCUGUGAAAGUCCAGGGCUCAACCCUGGAAAGCCGGUGGAUACUGCCGGGCUAGAGUCCGGGAGAGGCGAGUGGAAUUCCUGGUGUAGCGGUGGAAUGCGCAGAUAUCAGGAGGAACACCUAAGGCGAAGGCAGCUCGCUGGAACGGUACUGACGCUGAGGCGCGAAAGCGUGGGGAGCAAACAGG
rnacentral:rRNA from 1 species